UACGGAGGAUCCAAGCGUUAUCCGGAUUUAUUGGGUUUAAAGGGUGCGUAGGCGGGCUUUUAAGUCAGUGGUGAAAUCUCCGAGCUUAACUCGGAAAUUGCCAUUGAUACUAUUAGUCUUGAAUUAAGUUGAGGUGGGCGGAAUGUGUCAUGUAGCGGUGAAAUGCUUAGAUAUGACACAGAACACCGAUUGCGAAGGCAGCUCGCUAAACUUAUAUUGACGCUGAGGCACGAAAGCGUGGGGAUCAAACAGG
rnacentral:rRNA from 1 species